rnacentral:rRNA from 1 species
CCUACGGGGGGCUGCAGUGAGGAAUAUUCCGCAAUGGACGAAAGUCUGACGGAGCGACGCCGCGUGGAUGAUGAAGGCCGAAAGGUUGUAAAGUCCUUUUGCUGGGGAAGAAUAAGUCUGGGAGGGAAUGCCCGGAUGAUGACAUGAACCGGCGAAUAAGCCCCGGCUAACUACGUGCCAGCAGCCGCGGUAACACGUAGGGGGCAAGCGUUGUUCGGAAUUACUGGGCGUAAAGGGCAUGUAGGCGGCUUUGUAAGCUUGGCGUGAAAUUCCACGGCUUAACCGUGGGAAUGCGUUGAGAACUGCGAGGCUUGAGUUAUGGAGAGGGAGCUAGAAUUCCUGGUGUAGGGGUGGAAUCUGUAGAGAUCAGGAAGAAUACCAAUGGCGAAGGCAAGCUCCUGGCCAAUAACUGACGCUGAGGUGCGAAAGUGUGGGGAUCAAACAGGAUUAGAUACCCGAGUAGUC